CCUACGGGAGGCAGCAGUGGGGAAUAUUGGACAAUGGGCGAAAGCCUGAUCCAGCAAUGCCGCGUGUGUGAAGAAGGCCUUCGGGUUGUAAAGCACUUUAAGCAGGGAAGAAAAAACUAGCGUUAAUAUCGCUAGUCUUGACGGUACCUGAAGAAUAAGCACCGGCUAACUCUGUGCCAGCAGCCGCGGUAAUACAGAGGGUGCAAGCGUUAAUCGGAUUUACUGGGCGUAAAGCGUGUGUAGGUGGUUGGAAAACGUCGAUUGUGAAAUCCCUGGGCUCAACCCGGGGAACUGCUUUCGAUACUGUCUGACUAGAAUUCGGUAGAGGGAGGCGGAACUCCAGGUGUAGCGGUGAAAUGCGUAGAUAUCUGGAAGAACACCAAUGGCGAAGGCAACCUCCUGGGCCUGAAUUGACACUGAGACACGAAAGCGUGGGGAUCAAACAGGAUUAGGAUACCCUGGUAGUCCACGCCGUAAACCGAUGAGAACUUGACGUCGGUUUGCUCUGNGAGUCGGUGUCGUAGCUACGACGAUAGUUACUCCGUCCGUCGGGUAGGUACGGGUCCGGCCGACGGUUAGGUAACGUACGAACGUAGAAGUUAGUACGGCGUGAGACGUGCCGACGGACGACGACGAGGGAGGUUAGGG
rnacentral:rRNA from 1 species